GUGGGGAAUCUUGCGCAAUGGGCGAAAGCCUGACGCAGCCAUGCCGCGUGAAUGAUGAAGGUCUUAGGAUUGUAAAAUUCUUUCACCGGGGACGAUAAUGACGGUACCCGGAGAAGAAGCUCCGGCUAACUUCGUGCCAGCAGCCGCGGUAAUACGAAGGGGGCUAGCGUUGCUCGGAAUUACUGGGCGUAAAGGGCGCGUAGGCGGACAGCUUAGUCAGAGGUGAAAGCCCAGGGCUCAACCUUGGAAUUGCCUUUGAUACUGGCUGUCUUGAGUUUGGGAGAGGUGAGUGGAACUCCGAGUGUAGAGGUGAAAUUCGUAGAUAUUCGGAAGAACACCAGUGGCGAAGGCGACUCACUGGCCCAAUACUGACGCUGAGGCGCGAAAGCGUGGGGAUCGAACAGGAUUAGAAACCCUAGUAGUCC
rnacentral:rRNA from 1 species